rnacentral:rRNA from 1 species
AUUGAACGCUGGCGGCGGGCCUAACACAUGCAAGUCGAGCGGAUGAAGGGAGCUUGCUCCUGGAUUCAGCGGCGGACGGGUGAGUAAUGCCUAGGAAUCUGCCUGGUAGUGGGGGAUAACGUCCGGAAACGAGCGCUAAUACCGCAUACGUCCUGAGGGAGAAAGUGGGGGAUCUUCGGACCUCACGCUAUCAGAUGAGCCUAGGUCGGAUUAGCUAGUUGGUGGGGUAAAGGCCUACCAAGGCGACGAUCCGUAACUGGUCUGAGAGGAUGAUCAGUCACACUGGAACUGAGACACGGUCCAGGCUCCUACGGGAGGCAGCAGCGGGGAAUAUUGGACAAUGGGCGAAAGCCUGAUCCAGCCAUGCCGCGUGUGUGAAGAAGGUCUUCGGAUUGUAAAGCACUUUAAGUUGGGAGGAAGGGCAGUAAGUUAAUACCUUGCUGUUUUGACGUUACCAACAGAAUAAGCACCGGCUAACUUCGUG